AUUGAACGCUGGCGGCAGGCCUAACACAUGCAAGUCGAGCGAGAGGCGGACGGGUGAGUAAUGUAUGGGGACUGCCCGAUAGAGGGGGAAAACUACUGGAAACGGUAGCUAAUAACGCAUACUAUCGGAUAACCCAUAUGGGAUUUGCUAGUAGGUGCGGUAAUGGCUCACCUAGGCGACGAUCCCUAGCUGGUCUGAGAGGAUGGUCAGCCACACUGGGACUGAGACACGGCCGACACGCCUACGGAGGCAGCAGUGGGGACUAUUGCACAAUGGGCGCAAGCGUGAUGCAGCCAUGCCGCGUGGAUGAAGAAGGCCCUAGGGUUGUAAAGUACGUUCAGUCGGGAGGCGUUACCUACAGAAGAAGCACCGGCUAACUCCGUGCCAGCAGCCGCGGUAAUAC
rnacentral:rRNA from 1 species